UACUGCUUCAGAGUCUUCACUCUUCAGUGCUUAGCCAUUUCAUCGAGAAGAAGGAGACGAGAAUCGACUGCGAGUCUAGGAUAUCACUUAUCAGUCUGCGAUUCUAGACGAGAAUCGACUGCUUAGGAUAUCAGUCUACGUCUCUACGAGUUACGACUUACGAGUUACGAUCAGUCGACAUUCGAGCUCGAGUCUCAUCUCAUCUUCACCGGUUAACUUCACUACUUUUGUAAGUUUUGGUUAUAGGAGGCGAUUUCCAGCUCGAUUUGAUUCCUCACUCCUCAAUUUCAGAGGCCAUUGAAUGAUGAUGGGCAAAUGAUAAAUGUUCCAAAGGCCAUAACAUGUAAUGAAAGUAAAAGAGAAGUUUCUGUUUUACAAAAUGUAGCUAACAAGCAAGUAGACAAAGUAUUCACUUUUGACAAGGUUUUUGGCCCAAAAGCACAACAGAGAUCGAUAUAUGAUCAAGCCAUUUCGCCCAUUGUUAAGGAAGUUCUUAAUGGAUUUAAUUGCAUUGUAUUUGCAUAUGGGCAAACUGGUACAGGUAAAACAUACACAAUGGAA